GACUUUUCCUAGUCCCUGAGACCCUAACUUGUGAGGAUUUUUUAGCAACAAUCACAAGUUAGGCUCUUGGGACCUAGGCGGAGGG
rnacentral:pre_miRNA from 1 species